CAGGGAAUAUUGCUUAAUGGGCGAAAGCCUGAAGCAGCAACGCCGCGUGUGUGAAGAAGGCCUUCGGGUUGUAAACACUUUUUGAGGGGAUGAGGAAGGACAGUACCCUCAGAAUAAGCCUCGGCUAACUACGUGCCAGCAGCCGCGGUAAAACGUAGGAGGCGAGCGUUAUCCGGAUUUACUGGGCGUAAAGCGCGUGCAGGCGGCACGGCAAGUUGGAUGUGAAAGCUCCCGGCUUAACUGGGAGAGGUCGUUCAAAACUGCCGAGCUAGAGUGCGGGAGAGGGAGGUGGAAUUCCGGGUGUAGUGGUGAAAUGCGUAGAUAUCCGGAGGAACACCAGCGGCGAAAGCGGCCUCCUGGUCCGCAACUGACGCUCAGACGCGAAAGCUAGGGUAGCAAACGG
rnacentral:rRNA from 1 species